rnacentral:rRNA from 1 species
GAAUUAUUGGGCGUAAAGGGCUCGUAGGCGGUUUGUCGCGUCGGGAGUGAAAACACACAGCUUAACUGUGUGCUUGCUUCCGAUACGGGCAGACUAGAGGUAUGCAGGGGAGAACGGAAUUCCUGGUGUAGCGGUGAAAUGCGCAGAUAUCAGGAGGAACACCGGUGGCGAAGGCGGUUCUCUGGGCAUUACCUGACGCUGAGGAGCGAAAGUGUGGGGAGCGAACAGGAUUAGAUACCCUGGUAGUCCACACCGUAAACGUUGGGCGCUAGGUGUGGGGCCUAUUCCAUGGGUUCCGUGCCGCAGCUAACGCAUUAAGCGCCCCGCCUGGGGAGUACGGCCGCAAGGCUAAAACUCAAAGGAAUUGACGGGGGCCCGCACAAGCGGUAAUCGAAU